AGCGAACGUUAGCGGCGGGCUUAACACAUGCAAGUCGAGCGAGAAAGUGGCUUCGGCCAUCAGUAAAGCGGCGGACGGGUGAGUAACACGUAGGUAAUCUUCCCUUGAGCGGGGGACAACGAGCCGAAAGGCUCGCUAAUACCGCAUAAGUUCCCAGAGUCCUCGGACUUUGGGAGGAAAGCUAGGUCGCAAGAUCCGGCACUCGAGGAGGAGCCUGCGUCGCAUCAGCAGUUGGUGGGGUAAUGGCCUACCAAGGCGAAGACGCGUAGCUGGUCUGAGAGGAUGAUCAGCCACACUGGGACUGAGACACGGCCCAGACUCCUACGGGAGGCAGCAGUGGGGAAUAUUGGACAAUGGGCGCAAGCCUGAUCCAGCCACGCCGCGUGAGUGAUGAA
rnacentral:rRNA from 1 species